rnacentral:lncRNA from 1 species
AUGUCCAUUGAGUCGGUGAAUGCCAUCCAACCAUCUCAUCCUCUGUUGUCUCUGUUGUCUCCUCCCAACCAGCUCACAAAGGUUCCAGAAGUUUAUCAGCUGGCUUUUGUGACUGGCAGGAGUCAAGUCCAGCAGACCUGUGCUUGUAGCAGUACAUUCUUGGAUCUCUGUGUUCACAAAGCAGAGCAGGGGACUUCUUCCUACCUGUUGGAGCACUCUCUGCUCUGGUAUUAGAGGGUGGGUCACACUCUAAGGGAAACUCCUGCAGUUUAUAGCAGAGGCCGACUCCUUCCUAUGACCUCAACAGCAAAUGGAGUAGGAAGAAAUGGAAAACUGAAAGAAGCACUAUUAUCUCUAAAGCUAAGGCCAAGUGAGAACGCCCCUAAGGGACA